rnacentral:rRNA from 1 species
GGGUUGUGAGGUUAAGCGACUAAGCGUACACGGUGGAUGCCCUGGCAGUCAGAGGCGAUGAAGGACGUGCUAAUCUGCGAUAAGCGUCGGUAAGGUGAUAUGAACCGUUAUAACCGGCGAUUUCCGAAUGGGGAAACCCAGUGUGAUUCGUCACACUAUCAUUAACUGAAUCCAUAGGUUAAUGAGGCGAACCGGGGGAACUGAAACAUCUAAGUACCCCGAGGAAAAGAAAUCAACCGAGAUUCCCCCAGUAGCGGCGAGCGAACGGGGAGCAGCCCAGAGCCUGAAUCAGUGUGUGUGUUAGUGGAAGCGUCUGGAAAGGCGUGCGAUACAGGGUGACAGCCCCGUACACAAAAAUGCACAUGCUGUGAGCUCGAUGAGUAGGGCGGGACACGUGGUAUCCUGUCUGAAUAUGGGGGGACCAUCCUCCAAGGCUAAAUACUCCUGACUGACCGAUAGUGAACCAGUACCGUGAGGGAAAGGCGAAAAGAACCCCGGCGAGGGGAGUGAAAAAGAACCUGAAACCGUGUACGUACAAGCAGUGGGAGCACGCUUAGGCGUGUGACUGCGUACCUUUUGUAUAAUGGGUCAGCGACUUAUAUUCUGUAGCAAGGUUAACCGAAUAGGGGAGCCGAAGGGAAACCGAGUCUUAACUGGGCGUUAAGUUGCAGGGUAUAGACCCGAAACCCGGUGAUCUAGCCAUGGGCAGGUUGAAGGUUGGGUAACACUAACUGGAGGACCGAACCGACUAAUGUUGAAAAAUUAGCGGAUGACUUGUGGCUGGGGGUGAAAGGCCAAUCAAACCGGGAGAUAGCUGGUUCUCCCCGAAAGCUAUUUAGGUAGCGCCUCGUGAAUUCAUCUCCGGGGGUAGAGCACUGUUUCGGCAAGGGGGUCAUCCCGACUUACCAACCCGAUGCAAACUGCGAAUACCGGAGAAUGUUAUCACGGGAGACACACGGCGGGUGCUAACGUCCGUCGUGAAGAGGGAAACAACCCAGACCGCCAGCUAAGGUCCCAAAGUCAUGGUUAAGUGGGAAACGAUGUGGGAAGGCCCAGACAGCCAGGAUGUUGGCUUAGAAGCAGCCAUCAUUUAAAGAAAGCGUAAUAGCUCACUGGUCGAGUCGGCCUGCGCGGAAGAUGUAACGGGGCUAAACCAUGCACCGAAGCUGCGGCAGCGACGCUUAUGCGUUGUUGGGUAGGGGAGCGUUCUGUAAGCCUGCGAAGGUGUGCUGUGAGGCAUGCUGGAGGUAUCAGAAGUGCGAAUGCUGACAUAAGUAACGAUAAAGCGGGUGAAAAGCCCGCUCGCCGGAAGACCAAGGGUUCCUGUCCAACGUUAAUCGGGGCAGGGUGAGUCGACCCCUAAGGCGAGGCCGAAAGGCGUAGUCGAUGGGAAACAGGUUAAUAUUCCUGUACUUGGUGUUACUGCGAAGGGGGGACGGAGAAGGCUAUGUUGGCCGGGCGACGGUUGUCCCGGUUUAAGCGUGUAGGCUGGUUUUCCAGGCAAAUCCGGAAAAUCAAGGCUGAGGCGUGAUGACGAGGCACUACGGUGCUGAAGCAACAAAUGCCCUGCUUCCAGGAAAAGCCUCUAAGCAUCAGGUAACAUCAAAUCGUACCCCAAACCGACACAGGUGGUCAGGUAGAGAAUACCAAGGCGCUUGAGAGAACUCGGGUGAAGGAACUAGGCAAAAUGGUGCCGUAACUUCGGGAGAAGGCACGCUGAUAUGUAGGUGAAGUCCCUCGCGGAUGGAGCUGAAAUCAGUCGAAGAUACCAGCUGGCUGCAACUGUUUAUUAAAAACACAGCACUGUGCAAACACGAAAGUGGACGUAUACGGUGUGACGCCUGCCCGGUGCCGGAAGGUUAAUUGAUGGGGUCAGCGCAAGCGAAGCUCUUGAUCGAAGCCCCGGUAAACGGCGGCCGUAACUAUAACGGUCCUAAGGUAGCGAAAUUCCUUGUCGGGUAAGUUCCGACCUGCACGAAUGGCGUAAUGAUGGCCAGGCUGUCUCCACCCGAGACUCAGUGAAAUUGAACUCGCUGUGAAGAUGCAGUGUACCCGCGGCAAGACGGAAAGACCCCGUGAACCUUUACUAUAGCUUGACACUGAACAUUGAGCCUUGAUGUGUAGGAUAGGUGGGAGGCUUGGAAGUGUGGACGCCAGUCUGCAUGGAGCCGACCUUGAAAUACCACCCUUUAAUGUUUGAUGUUCUAACGUUGACCCGUGAUCCGGGUUGCGGACAGUGUCUGGUGGGUAGUUUGACUGGGGCGGUCUCCUCCUAAAGAGUAACGGAGGAGCACGAAGGUUGGCUAAUCCUGGUCGGACAUCAGGAGGUUAGUGCAAUGGCAUAAGCCAGCUUGACUGCGAGCGUGACGGCGCGAGCAGGUGCGAAAGCAGGUCAUAGUGAUCCGGUGGUUCUGAAUGGAAGGGCCAUCGCUCAACGGAUAAAAGGUACUCCGGGGAUAACAGGCUGAUACCGCCCAAGAGUUCAUAUCGACGGCGGUGUUUGGCACCUCGAUGUCGGCUCAUCACAUCCUGGGGCUGAAGUAGGUCCCAAGGGUAUGGCUGUUCGCCAUUUAAAGUGGUACGCGAGCUGGGUUUAGAACGUCGUGAGACAGUUCGGUCCCUAUCUGCCGUGGGCGCUGGAGAACUGAGGGGGGCUGCUCCUAGUACGAGAGGACCGGAGUGGACGCAUCACUGGUGUUCGGGUUGUCAUGCCAAUGGCACUGCCCGGUAGCUAAAUGCGGAAGAGAUAAGUGCUGAAAGCAUCUAAGCACGAAACUUGCCCCGAGAUGAGUUCUCCCUGACUCCUUGAGAGUCCUGAAGGAACGUUGAAGACGACGACGUUGAUAGGCCGGGUGUGUAAGCGCAGCGAUGCGUUGAGCUAACCGGUACUAAUGAACCGUGAGGCUUAACCUUACAACGCCGAAG